rnacentral:rRNA from 1 species
UGGGGAAUUUUGGACAAUGGGGGCAACCCUGAUCCAGCCAUGCCGCGUGAGUGAAGAAGGCCUUCGGGUUGUAAAGCUCUUUCGGUGGGAACGAAACGGUGGAGGCUAAUACCAUCCACUACUGACGGUACUCACAGAAGAAGCACCGGCUAACUACGUGCCAGCAGCCGCGGUAAUACGUAGGGUGCGAGCGUUAAUCGGAAUUACUGGGCGUAAAGCGUGCGCAGGCGGCGCGUUAAGACAGGUGUGAAAGCCCCGAGCUUAACUUGGGAAUUGCGCUUGUGACUGGCGUGCUGGAGUGUGGCAGAGGGAGGUGGAAUUCCACGUGUAGCAGUGAAAUGCGUAGAGAUGUGGAGGAACACCGAUGGCGAAGGCAGCCUCCUGGGCCAGCACUGACGCUCAUGCACGAAAGCGUGGGGAGCAAACAGGAUUAGAUACCCUGGUAGUCCACGCCCUAAACGAUGUCAACUGGUUGUUGGUGGGGUUAAACCCAUUAGUAACGAAGCUAACGCGUGAAGUUGACCGCCUGGGGAGUACGGCCGCAAGGUUAA